rnacentral:sRNA from 1 species
CGAAUGACCAUUAUAUCGCUGUAGACAGUAGGUGCGUAAGCAUAAAGAUUUCAUUCACCUACCGAGGAGACUUUUUUUAUCAUGAAUGAUGAUAUGAAUCGACCUUUGUCUAUUGACAAGGGUCUUUUGUUUAUAACA